UACGGAGGGUGCUAGCGUUGUUCGGAAUUACUGGGCGUAAAGGGCUCGUAGGCGGCCAACUAAGUCAGACGUGAAAUCCCUCGGCUUAACCGGGGAACUGCGUCUGAUACUGGAUGGCUUGAAUCCGGGAGAGGGAUGCGGAAUUCCAGGUGUAGCGGUGAAAUGCGUAGAUAUCUGGAGGAACACCGGUGGCGAAGGCGGCAUCCUGGACCGGCAUUGACGCUGAGGAGCGAAAGCCAGGGGAGCAAACGGG
rnacentral:rRNA from 1 species